CCUACGGGUGGCUGCAGUGGGGAAUAUUGGACAAUGGGCGCAAGCCUGAUCCAGCCAUGCCGCGUGAGUGAUGAAGGCCUUAGGGUUGUAAAGCUCUUUCGGCGGGGACGAUAAUGACGGUACCCGCAGAAGAAGCCCCGGCUAACUUCGUGCCAGCAGCCGCGGUAAUACGAAGGGGGCUAGCGUUGUUCGGAAUCACUGGGCGUAAAGCGUAUGCAGGCGGAUCGUUAAGUCGGGGGUGAAAUCCCGAGGCUCAACCUCGGAACUGCCUUCGAUACUGGCGAUCUUGAGUCCGGGAGAGGUGAGUGGAACUGCGAGUGUAGAGGUGAAAUUCGUAGAUAUUCGCAAGAACACCAGUGGCGAAGGCGGCUCACUGGCCCGGUACUGACGCUGAGAUACGAAAGCGUGGGGAGCAAACAGGAUUAGAUACCCGAGUAGUC
rnacentral:rRNA from 1 species